rnacentral:rRNA from 1 species
AACAAAAACAUGUCUUUUUGAGAAUAAUUUAAAGUUUAACCUGCCCAAUGAAUAAUUUUAAUGGCUGCAGUAAAUUGACUGUACAAAGGUAGCAUAAUCAUUAGUUUUUUAAUUGAAAGCUGGAAUGAAUGGUUGGACGAGAUAUAAACUGUCUUAAUUUAGUUAAUAGAAUUUUAUUAUUUAGUUAAAAAGCUAAAAUAAAUAUAAAAGACGAGAAGACCCUAUAGAUCUUUAUAUUAAAUAAAAUUAAAAUUAGAAAUGAAAUGUUGAUAAUUUAAUAGUAUUAAUAUUUUAUUGGGGUAAUAAGAAGAUUAAUAUAAUUCUUUAAUUUUAAACAUUGAUUUAUGAAAAAAAAAAUUGAUCCUUUAUAAAGAUUAUAAGAAUAAGUUACCUUAGGGAUAACAGCGUAAUUUUUUUGGAGAGUUCAUAUUGAUAAAAAAGUUUGCGACCUCGAUGUUG